rnacentral:rRNA from 1 species
CAAUGGGGGAAACCCUGAUGCAGCAACGCCGCGUGAGGUAUGAAGGCCUUUGGGUUGUAAGCCUCUGUCCUAGGGGAAGAAAAAAAUGACGGUACCCGAGGAGGAAGCCCCGGCUAACUACGUGCCAGCAGCCGCGGUAAUACGUAGGGGGCAAGCGUUAUCCGGAAUUAUUGGGCGUAAAGAGUGCGUAGGUGGUCUACUAAGCGCGAGGUGAAAGGCAAUGGCUCAACCAUUGUUAGCCUUGCGAACUGGCAGACUUGAGUGCAAGAGAGGAAAGCGGAAUUCCUAAUGUAGCGGUGAAAUGCGCAGAUAUUAGGAGGAACACCGGCGGCGAAGGCGGCUUUCUGGAUUGUAAUUGACACUGAGGCACGAAAGCGUGGGUAGCAAACAGGAUUAGAUACCCUGGUAGUCCACGCCGUAAACGAUGAGCACUAGGUGUCGGGACAUGAGUCUCGGUGCCGCAGUUAACGCAAUAAGUGCUCCGCCUGGGGAGUACGCACGCCAGUGUAAAACUCAAGAAUUGACGGGGACCGCACAGCAGCGAGCAUGUGGUUUA